rnacentral:rRNA from 1 species
UACGUAGGGGGCAAGCGUUGUCCGGAAUCAUUGGGCGUAAAGAGCUCGUAGGCGGCUCAGUAAGUCGGAUGUGAAAACUCGGGGCUCAACCCCGAGACGCCAUCCGAUACUGCUGUGGCUUGAGUCUGGUAGGGGAACACGGAAUUCCUGGUGUAGCGGUGAAAUGCGCAGAUAUCAGGAGGAACACCGAUGGCGAAGGCAGUGUUCUGGGCCAGUACUGACGCUGAGGAGCGAAAGCGUGGGUAGCAAACAGG